GAUAAACGCUGGCGGCGUGCCUAAUGCAUGCAAGUCGCACGGGGUGGCCUUUCGGGGCCAUCGAGUGGCGAACGGGUGAGGAACGCGUGGACAACCUACCCCGGCGUGGGGGAUACCCGCCAGAAAUGGCGGCUAAUACCGCGUACGGUCCCGUGGCGGAGGGCUGCGGGAAGAAAGCAGCGAUGCGCGCUGGGAGGGGUCUGCGGCCGAUUAGCUGGUUGGCGGGGUAGCGGCCCACCAAGGCGAUGAUCGGUAGCUGGUCUGAGAGGAUGAUCAGCCACACGGGGACUGAGACACGGCCCCGACUCCUACGGGAGGCAGCAGCAAGGAAUUUCCG
rnacentral:rRNA from 1 species